rnacentral:rRNA from 1 species
GCAGCGGAGCGUGUGGUUUAAUUCGAUGCUACACGAAGAACCUUACCAGGGUUUGACAUACAAGUAGUAGGGAAAGGAAACUGGACCGACCCUUCGGGGAGCUUGUACAGGUGCUGCAUGGCUGUCGUCAGCUCGUGUCGUGAGAUGUUCGGUUAAGUCCGCUAACGAGCGCAACCCUCGCUGUGUGUUACAAGUGUCACACGGAACUGCCGGUCAUAAACCGGAGGAAGGUGGGAUGACGUCAAGUCAGCAUGGCCUUUAUAUCCAGGGCUACACACACGCUACAAUGGCCGGUACAACGGGAUGCCAAGCCGCGAGGCGGAGCUAAUCUCCCAAAGCCGGUCUCAGUUCAGAUUGCAGGCUGCAACCCGCCUGCAUGAAGUCGGAGUUGCUAGUAACCGCAGGUCAGCUAUACUGCGGUGAAUACGUUCCCGGGCCUU